UACGAACUGUGCGAACGUUAUUCGGAAUCACUGGGCUUAAAGGGUGCGUAGGCGGUUUUCUAAGUCAGGUGUGAAAUCUUCCGGCUCAACCGGAAAACUGCGCCUGAUACUGGAGGACUGGAGUGAGGCAGGGGUGUGUGGAACUUCCAGUGGAGAGGUGAAAUGUGUAGAUAUCGGAAGGAACGCCAGCAGCGAAAGCGGCUCACUGGGCCUUUUCUGACGCUGAGGCACGAAAGCCAGGGGAGCGAACGGG
rnacentral:rRNA from 1 species